AGUAUGCUCAUGGGAACCCAGCUGGAAAGUGCUGUGGAAGGACAAAUGGAGAAAAGUCUCCAGAAAUUGGCCUCGUUUGAAAGGACCUCAUGCAAAGAGAGAUCUUUGGAGACAUUUCAGAAAGGUUUUUAUUCAAACAUAUUCGCAGCUUGUAUGACAGUGGAAUGUUUUGAAAUGAGCUUGAUUCUGUUUACCCAUCCUUCUUAAUCCAACAACUCUGCUGGUCUCUCUGCUGACACAAGAUCGUUCGCAGGUUAUAGAAGGAUUUAACACGUCAGCCAAUGCAGGAAGUAGUCCUCUGAAAUACAUGUCCACAGAACACGCCGUGCUUUCCAGAAGACGCAACAGACAGAAACUUUCCAAAGGGAAUUACCUGGGAUCAUUUCUCAUCCUCUCUCUCUUUCUCUGUAUUACUUAGCCUUAAAAAAAAAAA
ensembl:lncRNA novel transcript, sense intronic to WWOX